UACGGGGGGGGCAAGCGUUGUUCGGAAUUACUGGGCGUAAAGGGCUCGUAGGUGGCCAACUAAGUCAGACGUGAAAUCCCUCGGCUUAACCGGGGAACUGCGUCUGAUACUGGAUGGCUUGAGUUCGGGAGAGGGAUGCGGAAUUCCAGGUGUAGCGGUGAAAUGCGUAGAUAUCAGGAGGAACACCAAUAGCGAAGGCAGCUCGCUGGGACGGUAUUGACGCUAAGGCGCGAAAGCGUGGGGAGCAAACAGG
rnacentral:rRNA from 1 species